GUGAGCGCCCUAAUUUUAUUCGACGAAAGAGACAUUCUGUCGAGCACAAAUUCACGAAGCUUCUUUCCUUUUCUCAAUUCGCCGCGGUGUCCGUCCUCUAAUAUCGCAUUAUCGGAAUCUAUGUCAAGAAAGCUGCAAUACGAACUCUCCGGUUGAGUCCUCAUUUCUCCUCUCGGUCAGGCAAAUCUCACCCCGACGAACUUUCUCAACCAGAGAUCGACCUCAAUCUGGCGAAAGGGAGACCACCAUACGCACAAUGCGUUGCAGUUGCAAAAAGCAUGGUAAAGUGAAAUGCUCACAUUGCUCCCAACAAAUUUGACGAUUCCAUCUUGCAUUUGGGUUCAAAGCCAAGAUGACUUCUGUGAGGGAGAACACUAUAUGCAGCAAGAUGCAUUGCAGUCACAAAAAGCAUGGCAGAGUGAAAGGCUCACAUUGCACUAACAACUUUGAUGAUUCCAUCUUGCAUUUGGGUUCAAAGCUAAGAUGACUUCUGUGAGGACUAUGGAUGUUGUCAGGGAUCUGUAUGUGGCCAGCCUCGUCCAGAGACACGUUAUGUAUCUAUGGGAGAAGUAUUGAUCGAAGGAUGUAUGGGUGGGGGAAAGAUCCACCCACAUUGACCAACCAUGGAUCAGCUCGUGCUUCCGUAGGACUGGUUUUUAUUAUACCCACAAACCUGGUGGUGUUGGGCUUAAGUUGGAUUUGCCCUUAUCACACCUUCCAUCUCACGAUUGGCGAGGUGAUAGUGAAGCUAUAAGACGUGGGGGUGUGUUAUCAUAUGGGGUUAUGAUAGACGGGUUGUUAGAUAUGGGAACAACGGACUAGCAAUGGUUGGCACUUUGUGAGUAGUUGCUUUGCAAGUGUUCCACUAAGUUACCAAGUAGUUGCUUUACCACACAAUUGGGAAAGUCAUGCAAGGGUAUGCUCGGAGCAUAUAUCUUAUGCAUUGUUAAAGAAAUGCUGCUAGUAAGCUAAGCUUGCAGACAGGCCCAACUCAUAUACUUACCAUUGCUCUGAGAUCUUGACCAAUACGGCACUUCAAGAGGAAUCUGCUGUGGUGGUCGAGAUCUCAGAGCAAUGGAAAGUAUAUUAGUUGGGCAUUGCCUGCAGACUUGCUUGGUAGCAGCACUUCUUUGACAAUACAUAUGAUAUAUGCUCGCGCAUAUCGUUGCAUGACCUUCUCAAUUGCGUCAUUUGUCAAAUGGGCAAAAUGCUUCCAUAUCAACGUGAUCUUCAGCGAUGACCCGAUCGGACUCUGCUCCCCGACUUGGGUCUCUACUCACAAAGUGCCAGCCAUGGGUACUUAGUUGUCCUCGUUACUGGUUGCUUGUCUACACAUACCCCCAUGAUAAUCCCCCUAUCCCAUAGUCACUACCCUCUUGCCCAACACUUAGACGGAAUGUGUGGAGGGUUUGGUAAUCGAAUUUAUUUGCAAUGUAACCGAACUAAUGGAAGUUUUGAAUUAACUAUAUUAGUGGAAACGAUUGUAAAAUAUUUAAAUGGUCAGGAAAAGUGGGUUCUUUUUUUUUUUUUUUUU